AGCGAACGCUGGCGGCAGGCUUAACACAUGCAAGUCGAGCGGGGGUAGCAAUACGUCAGCGGCAGACGGGUGAGUAACGCGUGGGAACGUACCUUUUGGUUCGGAACAACACAGGGAAACUUGUGCUAAUACCGGAUAAGCCCUUACGGGGAAAGAUUUAUCGCCGAAAGAUCGGCCCGCGUCUGAUUAGCUAGUUGGUGAGGUAACGGCUCACCAAGGCGACGAUCAGUAGCUGGUCUGAGAGGAUGAUCAGCCACAUUGGGACUGAGACACGGCCCAAACUCCUACGGGAGGCAGC
rnacentral:rRNA from 1 species